rnacentral:rRNA from 1 species
GACGAACGCUGGCGGCGUGCCUAAUACAUGCAAGUCGAGCGAAGUUUUUCUGGUGCUUGCACUAGAAAAACUUAGCGGCGAACGGGUGAGUAACACGUAAAGAACCUGCCUCAUAGACUGGGACAACUAUUGGAAACGAUAGCUAAUACCGGAUAACAGUAUUUCUCGCAUGAGAGAUAUUUAAAAGUUGGUUAUGCCAACACUAUGAGAUGGCUUUGCGGUGCAUUAGCUAGUUGGUGGGGUAAAGGCCCACCAAGGCGACGAUGCAUAGCCGACCUGAGAGGGUGAUCGGCCACACUGGGACUGAGACACGGCCCAGACUCCUACGGGAGGCAGCAGUAGGGAAUCUUCCGCAAUGGGCGAAAGCCUGACGGAGCAACGCCGCGUGAGUGAAGAAGGAUUUCGGUUCGUAAAGCUCUGUUGUUAGGGAAGAAUGGAUAUGUAGUAACUAUACAUGUAAGAGACGGUACCUAAACAGAAAGCCACGGCUAACUACGUG